UUCCACCUUUUCUCCCCACCACCUCUACACUCCCCACUAGUUGCAAAUGAUUUGGGGAGGCAGGUUUGCUGAAGGUGGGAUUCCAGGAUACAGCUUCCGUGAGGUCCUCGUCCAUGAUUUGCUGGGACUUUGUGAAGAUGCAGCUGUUUUGGCAUUACCCACACUCCUGUAUGUAAUCCCUCACCCACGCUCUAAGUAAGCCCACCAAAUGCAUUGGUUUUAAGAUAAACUCCGGUGGAGUCCUUGCCUUGGUUUGUCUGCCCCUCUUGGGUGAACAGCUUGUUCAUAUCACCCCAGAAGUUACCACAGCACUGGGGGCUCCUCAAGUUUGCAUCUCCCCCUGCGGGGUCACACAUCAGUUAGCCAUCUAUCAGGAAAUGUCAAGUUAGCCUUGUUCCCUUAAAGCCUCUUACCUGUGCCUGAGGCCAAGAAGAUUAACUCCAGGAAUGGGGCAGAAACAUAACAGACGCGCAUUGUGAAAAGGCUCACAUUCCAGCUGUCCUAGGAAGUAAGAAGUCCCGACGAUCCCACCCCCGGGCUAACAGCUAUUAAUAACAUGCUCUACUAUCUUUGUCAGGACCUAUAGACUAAGCUUAGUCUUUUGACAGAGGAAAACACCCACUAUUUUACCAGUGUAUGCCUUCGUGAAAGCAAGGUCCAGAUUUCCAACAAGAGUUGAUCCUGCCUGGAGCCAAAUAAGCCCACCCACCCCUCAGCUGUGUUGGAAAUGGGAAGCCAUCUACUUGCUAGAACACACUUGCAGAAGGCAACGAGGCAUCUAGUACUCCAGGGCUUUGGACUGUCCACAAAGAACCAAAGGAACAAGCCAACCCAUGCUGGAACUGACGGCAAAUAGAAUUCAGCUUCUCAGUUGAGCCUCCAGAAUCAACAUCAGUCCGGGAAGCGCCUGAAAUCUGGCCUACUAACGCCUCCAAGCCAGAGACCUUGAACAGGAUCUGUUCUGUUCUUGCCUAUAUUUAUGGGGGUUACUGAAGGUAGCUACAGGGGAUAUAAAUGGUUUGUGGCAGUGUUGUUCUAUUACUAUUCUAUUAUGCAAACACCUCCCCUUUCCUUCUUGUGUUUUUCUUCCAUGAAAAAAAUUUUAGAUCCUACUGUAAUCCUUGGUUUGAGAAUCUCCCUUCUCCAGCUGAGAAGUUUAACAGUACAAACUAUUUAGAAUUAUACCCGCUCAUGUUUUAUAUGUGCCAUUAACACAGGUUCCAACAAGCAGAUUGCUAGAAGGUUCAAAUACUCUAUCAAUGCAAUACUCUGGAAGGAAUAAAGCAGGUUUGGAGGCCAAAAGGGGAAUACCUGAAGUUUCUUAAA